GAUCAUUAAUGAGAUCAUGCCCUUCGGGGUAGACCUCCCACCCCCUGUUUACCGUACCCGUUGCUUUGGCGGUCCCGUCGCGAGACGGGCCGCCAGAGGACCUUCAAACCCGUAUUAUCAAUGUCGUCUGAGUACUAUACAAUAGUUAAAACUUUCAACAACGGAUCUCUUGGUUCUGGCAUCGAUGAAGAACGCAGCGAAAUGCGAUAAGUAAUGUGAAUUGCAGAAUUCAGUGAAUCAUCGAAUCUUUGAACGCACAUUGCGCCCCCUGGUAUUCCGGGGGGCAUGCCUGUUCGAGCGUCAUUACAACCCUCAAGCUCUGCUUGGUCUUGGGCGUCACCCCCCCGGGUGCGCCUUAAAAUCAGUGGCGGUGCCGUCUGGCUUCAAGCGUAGUAUUACUCCUCGCUUGGGAGCCCGGGCGUGCGUCUUGCCAAAACCCCAUACUUCUUUUAGGUUGACCUCGGAUCAGGUAGGGAUACCCGCUGAACUUAAGCAUAUCAAUAAGCGGAGGAAAAGAAACCAACAGGGAUUGCCUCAGUAACGGCGAGUGAAGCGGCAACAGCUCAAAUUUGAAAUCUGGCCCCCUCGGGGCCCGAGUUGUAAUUUGUAGAGGAUGUUUCGGGUGUGGCUCCGGUCUAAGUUCCUUGGAACAGGACGUCAUAGAGGGUGAGAAUCCCGUAUGUGACUGGCAGCCUACGCCCAUGUGAAGCUCCUUCGACGAGUCGAGUUGUUUGGGAAUGCAGCUCAA
rnacentral:rRNA from 1 species